AUUGAACGCUGGCGGCAGGCCUAACACAUGCAAGUCGGACGGUAGCACAGAGAGCUUGCUCUCGGGUGACGAGUGGCGGACGGGUGAGUAAUGUCUGGGGAUCUGCCCGAUAGAGGGGGAUAACCACUGGAAACGGUGGCUAAUACCGCAUAACGUCGCAAGACCAAAGAGGGGGACCUUCGGGCCUCUCACUAUCGGAUGAACCCAGAUGGGAUUAGCUAGUAGGCGGGGUAACGGCCCACCUAGGCGACGAUCCCUAGCUGGUCUGAGAGGAUGACCAGCCACACUGGAACUGAGACACGGUCCAGACUCCUACGGGAGGCAGCAGUGGGGAAUAUUGCACAAUGGGCGCAAGCCUGAUGCAGCCAUGCCGCGUGUAUGAAGAAGGCCUUCGGGUUGUAAAGUACUUUCAGCGGGGAGGAAGGCGAUAAGGUUAAUAACCUUGUCGAUUGACGUUACCCGCAGAAGAAGCACCGGCUAACUCCGUGCCAGCCGCCGCAGUAAGAC
rnacentral:rRNA from 1 species